rnacentral:lncRNA from 1 species
AGAGAAUGAGUUCUACUAUCUUCUAAGAUUUAAAAGUUCAUCAUCAAUAUUUUAUCCCUGUAACAACAAUUAAUAUACAUCUUUAAUCAAAUAUUCAUCUUUGCACUACAGGCCAAAGAUAUUCAUUUGUAUCACCAGUUGGUCAUGUUCAUCUCAACACCUGUUCAUCUUUGCACUACGGGCCAAAGAUAUUCAUCAGUUAAUCAUUCAUCUU